rnacentral:tRNA from 1 species
GGCCAGUUAGCUCAGUUGGUUAGAGCAUGGUGCCAAUAACACCAAAGUCGUGGGUUCGAUCCCCAUUCAGUCCC